rnacentral:rRNA from 1 species
GAUGAACGCUAGCGGCAGGCUUAAUACAUGCAAGUCGAGGGGCAGCGCAGUGUAGCAAUACAUGGGCGGCGACCGGCAAACGGGUGCGGAACACGUACAGAACCUUCCUUCGAGCGGGGAAUAGCCCAGAGAAAUUUGGAUUAAUACCCCAUAGUAUAUUGAUAAGGCAUCUUAUUAAUAUUAAAGAUUUAUCACUUGAAGAUGGCUGUGCGGCUGAUUAGGAGUUGGCGGGGUAACGGCCCACCAAGCCUGCGAUCAGUAACUGGUGUGAGAGCACGACCAGUCACACGGGCACUGAGACACGGGCCCGACUCCUACGGGAGGCAGCAGUGGGAAUCUUGCGCAAUGGGCGAAAGCCUGACGCAGCGACGCCGCGUGAGGGAUGACGGCCUGG